GGUCCCUCUUUUGAAUUUUGAAAUGUUGGGUGGUAUGAUGUAUGUGAACAUAUCUGAUCUAAGUAGCCUUUCUAAAGCUGAAUCAUAUUCCAGCAUAGGUAUAAGUUAGAAACUGAAGUUAAUAAAUGUCUCAAAAUGCUAUUUCUAGCACUAGUGGAGUGUUUAUGGAGAUUAUUGAUCGUGUUAGCUAUCUGGAUCUGUGUUUGUUGACUUGUUGUUAUGAUCUUCCUAUCAAUGAAAGAAAAAUCACUAGUUGAGAGUGAAAACAAACAUUAUAUUGUUCUGGGGUGGUUGUAACCUAUCACUAUGUAGUACAUUAUAGUGCAUUAAUCCACAAUGGAGAUUAGGGACCUGACACAGUUAAGUUUAUUUUUGAGCUAUAUUUGGUAAUAUAUAGUCAUCUAAGAGAUGGCAGCAUUCGUAGAUACAGUUUAAGUAAAUAGUGUGUAGUCAGAGUGAAGAGCAUAUUAAAAGUACACACUAGUUUAGACCUAUACCUCUGUCUCAGCCGCUGACAGAGCACAGGUGUUAUAUUCAAGGGAUGAAACUCCUAUAUAUGAAAAUGCCUGUUGUAGCUGUGACUAUGGAGGUGAAAAAAAUGAAAAUGUAUGCUUACCUGAUAACUUUCUUUCCGGAUAUGAAGAGUCCACAACGUCAUUCAAUUACUAGUGGGAAUAUCACUUCUGGCCAGCAGGAGGAGGCAAAGAGCACAACAGCAAAGCUGUUAAGUGUCACUCCCCUCUCCAUAAUCCCCAGUCAUUUGACAGAAUGGAAAUAGAAAAAGAAUAACACAAAGGUGUAGAGGUGCCUGAGGUUUAGUAAAGAAUAACUGUCUUAAUAAAGGGAGGGAAAGAAAGAAAGAAAGAAAGAAAGAAAGAAAGAAAGAAAGAAAGAAAGAAAGAAAGAAAGAAAGAAAGAAAUCAGGUAAGCAUAAAUUUUGUUUUCUUUCCUAAAAUAUGGAGAGUUCACAACGUCAUUAAAUUACUAGUG